UUUCACUUUGCAGCUCUGGAGGUGUCGGGAAAAUCCUGGGAGGGGGAGCAGGAAAACUGGGCAGGAUUUGCUCCUCAAUUCUUGCAAGUUUUAUUUUUAUUUUUAAUUUCUUUUUUUUUUCUUUUAUUUUUCUUUUUUUUCCUAUAUUUUUCCCUUUUUUCUUUUUUUUUUUUUUCUCAUUUUUUCUUUUAUUCCAAUUUUUCCCUUCAUUUUUAAAUCUAUUUCUCCAUUUUUCUUUUACUUUUUCCAUUUUUUUUCUUUUCCCCUUUUAAUUUUUUUUUCUUAUUUUCUUUUCCAGUUUUUGUCUUCAAAUUUUCAUCAGUUUUUCUUUUUAUUCUUUGUUUUUUCUUGAUUUUUUUUCUGGGAAUUUUUCCUUUUUCUUUUGUUGUUUUUUUCUUUCCUUUUCUCUAUUUUACCUUACCUAUCUAUUUUUAUUUUCCCUUUUUCUUUAUUUUUUCAAUUUUUCUUCUUUUUUUUCUGUUUUUCUUCAUUUUACCCCAUUUUUCUUCGUUUUUUCCCAUUUUUCUUUUUUUUCCCAUUUUUCUUCAUUUUUCCCAUUUUUCUUUUUUUUUCUCCCAUUUUUCUUCCUUCCUUUCCACUUCAUUCUUCAUUUUUUCCCCUUUUCUCUUCACCAUUUCCCCCCUUUUUAAUUUUUUUUCUUCCUCACCAUUUCCCUUUUAUUUUUUUUUUUAA
rnacentral:lncRNA from 12 species